rnacentral:rRNA from 1 species
UACGUAGGGUGCAAGCGUUGUCCGGAAUUAUUGGGCGUAAAGAGCUCGUAGGCGGCUUGUCGCGUCGUCCGUGAAAACCCAUGGCUCAACUGUGGGCUUGCGGUCGAUACGGGCAGGCUGGAGUUCGGUAGGGGAGACUGGAAUUCCUGGUGUAGCGGUGAAAUGCGCAGAUAUCAGGAGGAACACCGAUGGCGAAGGCAGGUCUCUGGGCCACUACUGACGCUGAGAAGCGAAAGCAUGGGGAGCGAACAGG